rnacentral:sRNA from 1 species
CCUAACUUGGGUGAGCCUCAGGGCUUUGGGUCUCCGUCCCUCUAUUUCAGCCCCUGUCCCUCCUCCCCACCCCUGCAGUUUGCACUCUAUAAGAAGAUGACCCAGGCGGCCAUCCUGAUCCAGAGCAAGUUCCGAAGCUACUAUGAACAGAAGCGAUUUCAGCAGAGCCGCCGAGCGGCUGUGCUCAUCCAGCAGCACUACCGCUCCUACCGCCGCAGGCCCGGCCCUCCCCACCGGACUUCGGCCACCCUGCCUGCCCGCAACAAAGGCUCCUUUCUCACCAAGAAGCAGGACCAGGCCGCCCGGAAGAUCAUGAGAUUCCUGCGGCGCUGCCGACACAGGAUGAGGGAACUGAAGCAGAACCAGGAGCUGGAAGGGCUUCCCCAGCCGGGACUGGCCACAUGACCUGGCCACCGCCUUUCUCACCACCCUGGGGGCGCCUCGUGCAGUCUUAACAGGGAGAGGGCUUUCUGGGGCAGGGGGAGCCCCUGUCGGCAGCUUUCCUGUUCACCUUUGUUGGAGCCCUCUGUAGGCCUCCUCCCUCCUCCCCACGCCUUGCUCCCACACCCCUCUCCUCGUCCCUCCUGGUCGUGCCCCGUCUCUUUUGGUCCUGGCUCCAGAAGACCCGCGCCCCACAUACCUGCAUCUUCCGCUGUGACCUCCGGAGCCCUGCCUGCCCCUGCUCCCCAGCUCCUCCUGCCUGCACCCGACUCGGCCCCCUCCUGACUUGCCUUAUUUAUUUGUUCGACGCGUCUCUGAAUGUA